rnacentral:ncRNA from 1 species
CCUUAUAGAGAGUAACGGAGGGACAGGCCCUGUGAAGUUACGGCAACCUGCAUUUGCAAGGUGCUAAAUCCUACGGUGAAAACCGAAAGAUAAGG